AUGAUCAUACUUCAUAGGAUCAAUUCUAUAGUAUGACUGCCGAGUUCCUUGUCCGAAACUCGGGAAGGAAUCACACUGCGAUGAUGUAGCUAAGUGUGAGCCUCUGAGCGGGAAGCUGUUCAAGGUGUAAUGCCUUGGACAUUGAUGACCGUUCCCUCUUGGUUUACCAGGAGUGGAGGAGGCCCGCACAGGCUGAGCAGU